GCUCCGAUAGCUCAAUUGGUUAGAGCGCCCCGCUCAUAACGGGUCGGUUGCAGGUUCGAGUCCUGCUGGGAGCACCA
rnacentral:tRNA from 1 species